GUGUGAAAAUACAUAUGAAUUAGAUUUUAAGCGUUCAGUCUAGUUCACGAGUUCGUAGCGAUAGCCUCAUGUAGAGUAUUGUGAUGACAAUAUUUGCAACAACUUGAUUUCUCGAAAAAUGUCUUGUCGUUUUCGUGAGCCGAAGAAGUUAGAUGAGGAAAGUUUGUUUGUUGAAGAAUCAGUGCCCAAAAAUACGCGAUAUAACACAAAGUAGGAAAAACGAAUAUUUGUGGAGUUGCAGAACAAUCAGCUUGAUAAAACAGCGUGUGUUGAUGUCGCAUCUGAUGAACAUGAUUCGCUACAGAUCGAAGAUUUAACAGUGCUUCUACCAGAAAUGUCGGUCUCUAUACGUUGCUCAUUGACUCAGCAAGUUUGCUUGCGAAGCGGAACUGAAAGUAAAUGGCGAACGUUAUCUUCCUAAAAAUGUGUAUUGAUUAUGUGCGGCUUAAAUCGCUAUUUAGCUGAUAUAAAAAGAGAGGAAGGAUUUAAUAUUUUGGACAGAGGUGACACUAAGGUACACACUUUAAUAUCAUUUUACUUUACUAUGCAAUUUCUUGCUAACAGUUUAGUGGGUAAUUUAGAACUACCAUUGUGAAAUUCACAUACUUCGAUGAAAUGUGCAGGUUUAGUGGAGCUGCUCAAGCUUGGAAAUAGUCGUAGUACUAAUAGAACCAGCAAUGGGGAAAAGAUAUGCACCAACUCAGUGUUUAAUAAUCACCAUUAAUUUCGUGGUAAAUGAGAAAAACUGAUACCACAUUCCAACGAGGCAACGUACAGACAAGAUUGACACUAUGUAUUGUGACAUCGAUUCCUUGUGUCAGAACAUUACAGUUGUGUAAUUAAAAAAUAAAAUUGCUUUAAUUUACAAGCAUCAUGUUUAUUCCAGAUGGAAGAAUGUAUUUUGUCCGAAUGAAGAUAAAUGCUAAUUAGAG